UACGUAGGGGGCGAGCGUUGUCCGGAAUCACUGGGCGUAAAGGGCGCGUAGGUGGCGACCCAAGUCGAUGGUGAAAGCUCGCCGCUCAACGGCGAGUCGGCCACCGAUACUGGGUUGCUCGAGCACUGUAGAGGCAGGCGGAAUUCCGGGUGUAGCGGUGGAAUGCGUAGAGAUCCGGAAGAACACCGGUGGCGAAGGCGGCCUGCUGGGCAGUUUAGCUGACACUGAGGCGCGACAGCGUGGGGAGCAAACAGG
rnacentral:rRNA from 1 species